rnacentral:rRNA from 1 species
AUUGAACGCUGGCGGAAUGCUUUACACAUGCAAGUCGAGCGGCAGCACGGGGGCAACCCUGGUGGCGAGCGGCGAACGGGUGAGUAAUACAUCGGAACAUGCCCAGUCGUGGGGGAUAACACUUCGAAAGAAGUGCUAAUACCGCAUACGUCCUGAGGGAGAAAGCGGGGGAUCUUCGGACCUCGCGCGAUUGGAGUGGCCGAUGUCAGAUUAGCUAGUUGGUGGGGUAAAGGCCUACCAAGGCAACGAUCUGUAGCUGGUCUGAGAGGAUGAUCAGCCACACUGGGACUGGGACACGGCCCAGACUCCUACGGGAGGCAGCAGUGGGGAAUUUUGGACGAUGGGGGCAACCCUGAUCCGGCCAUUCCGCGUGAGUGAAGAAGGCCUUCGGGUUGUAUAGCUCUUUCGGCAGGAACGAAACGGCGAGCUCUAACAUAGCUUGCUAAUGACGGUACCUGAAGAAGAAGCACCGGCUAACUACGUGCCAGCAGCCGCCGUAAAGA